UACGAAGGGUGCAAGCGUUACUCGGAAUACUGGGCGUAAAGCGUGCGCAGGCGGUGAUGUAAGACAGAUGUGAAAUCCCCGGGCUCAACCUGGGAACUGCAUUUGUGACUGCAUCGCUGGAGUGCGGCAGAGGGGGAUGGAAUUCCGCGUGUAGCAGUGAAAUGCGUAGAUAUGCGGAGGAACACCGAUGGCGAAGGCAAUCCCCUGGGCCUGCACUGACGCUCAUGCACGAAAGCGUGGGGAGCAAACAGG
rnacentral:rRNA from 1 species